rnacentral:tRNA from 1 species
AGCCUUAUAUUCAAUAAUGAUAUAAAAUUGCAAAUUUUAAGGGGUAUGAAAAAUACUAAGGCUU